rnacentral:lncRNA from 1 species
CCAUAAAACAGCCCGCUGGUGGUGCACGAAGGGGGGGUCUGGCGCUGAGCAGCCUCACCUGGGCUGUGGCACGAUGACAGGGGGCACCCUAAGUGCACCUAAACCCCUAAACCGUCUGGGUUCAGCACCAGACAAUGGCAUAAAAUCGUAUCAAAGAGUGGCUCGGGUUGGAAAAAAUCAGCACCUCCAGGGAUGGGGCAUCCAUAGCUUCUCUAUGCAACCUGUGCCAGGGCCACACCAACCUCUAAGUGAAGAAUUUCUUCCUAAACUCUAAUCUAAAUCUCCCCUCUUUCAGUUUAAAACCAUUCCCCCUUGUCCCUGUCAUUAUCCAAGCAAAAAGUCACUCCCCUUCUCUUUUAUAAGCCCCCUUUAAGUACUGCAAAGCCACAAUGAGAUCACCCCAGAGCCUUCUCUUCUUUAGGCUGAGCAUCCCCAGCUCUCUCAGUCUCUCAGUCUUUCUUUUCUUUUUUUUUAUUUUUUUAUUUUUUAUUUUUUUUUAUUUUUUAUUAUUAUUUUUUUUUGUAGGAGCGGUGCUAAAAAAAAAAAAAAAGGGCUGAGCUGUGAUGGGCAGCUGGGCAUCGUUAGCAGCCUGCACCCAGGCACUAAUUGGGAUGGGGUGGGGUGGGUCUUGGAGUGCCCUGAGGAGGGCUGGGGACCUGCUGGGGACAGUCCUGAGAGAGGAAGGUGGUGUGGCAGCAAGGGGCUCCUGCAGGAAGCUGUGCUCCGGGAAGGGAAGUGGCAAAACACAGAAGCCCCACGUGCUACAGACGGACCCCACAGCUGAGGGGAAGGAAUUACUUGCUCGCGGACCGCGUUCCAGUCGAGAUCACAGCUCAGCAAGAAAAUAGAAGCAGGCGAGGUAGUCCUGCUAUUGCCUCCAACCUGCUUGAUAUAAAAAUGGAGAAGAAAAGCCAAGCGCAGAGCAGAUGAGAGAGACAUUUGCCUCCUUGUGUGCAGGCUGACAAGGACUGGGGAUGGAUGAAUUCAUCGCAGGUUCUCUGCCUCGCGGAGAGGGGGGAGAGGGA